AGAAACGAAAGUGAAUCCCAGCGCAACAAGCUAUUCUUAGGCAUGGAAAGCAAUGCAUAGCAUAUUCUUUGUCUUCAAAAAAUAAAAAGCCCAACCAAAACUGAAAACAAUAAAAACAAAAACAGUUGAUGAAAAACAAAACACUGUCAAAAAUUUGUGACAACAAACAACUUCAUCACCCAUUUUCUUGAGAGGUUUUGCACAUUGGAAUUUGGCGGAGGAAUAUUAUAGCAAUCAUGAGAUUUAAGAAAGGGAGUAAGGUGGAGGUACUGAGCAAAAGGAAGGUGCCAUCAGGCUCUUGGAUUAGUGCUGAGAUAAUAUGUGGUAAUGGACACAACUAUACUGUUAGAUAUGAUGGCCAUCAAAGCAAUAUUGAUGAGGCAAUUGUGGAAAGGGUACCUGGGAGUGCCAUUAGGCCUUGUCCUCCUCCAGUGGAAGGUCCAGAGGGUUGGAUUCCUGGUGACGUUGUAGAAGUGUUUGACAACUUCUCAUGGAAAAUGGCAACUGUCUCAAAGGUUCUGGGAAAGAAAUAUUUUUUGGUUAGGCAUCUUGGGUCCUCACUGGAAUUUAAAGUCAGAAAAUAUGAUCUCCGGGUGAGACAAUCAUGGCAAGAUGACAAGUGGAUCGUGAUUGGAAAGAGUUCUGGGACUUUUGAAGACAGAAAACCCAGUGGUCCUCCAACACACAACUAUAUUCAAAAUUCAAGCUUCCAAGUCCAAGAAAUGGAUACAAGGAUGAAACUAUCAAGGAAAGAUAAUUGUUUUACUGUUAAGAACAAUGCCGAUUUCCAGGAAUCUCGUAUUGCUUCCUCUAGAACUCUGAAGCGAGGAUCACCAUUUGGCUAUUCUCAAGUUGAAACAUAUGCUGGAAGUGCUAAAAAAUUUAGAUUGACCGAGAAAGAGGGUAGGCUUCAUCGAGCUGUUGCAGCGAAUGCAUCCCUGUUACCUGAAAAGGUAGAGGCUGUUGCUUCCCGACGAGAAAUGCUGGGUGAAAAUUACAUGCAUGCUUCCUUUAACAGCAGACCCACUGGGUAUUCUGAAAUGGAUGUGGAGAGGGCAAAAACAAAUGGUGCUGUUGGGGGUUCACAUGCAGGCCAAAGCAUGAGGCUUGUACACCUUGCUUCCAAGUGUCUAAAGAUGAUGUUGGGAUUUCCCACCUUUCUCUUGGUGUAGACAAUGGGGCAAUAUCGGCAUCAAAGUGGCUACAAAAUAGGACAGCUUAUGAUGAUGCACUGGUACCUUUAAUUUAUUUGGUUGCUGCAUUCUUUCAUCGGUGGCCUCCUGUGAGCCUUAAAUUUGUGUUUAGCUGAAGGAUGUAAGACCAGAAUCUUGUGGCUGCCAUGGGGUUUCCUGAAACACCCAUUCACAAUGCCAUUUGCUAGAUGAGAAUGAGCAGCUCUGAGAACCUGUUGCAUGUGAGGGGAGGAUGCUGUAAGCAAACAAAUUAGAUGAGAAAAACAAUACUAAUACACAGGUUUAGAAGAUGGAGGGAUAAAUAUUUACAAGGUUGCUCACUUGGAAUGAGGAAAGAAAGUUUACAAGCUUUGCAGUAGAUGUUACUGGCUGAAAAGUGAACACUUUUGGCUCGAAGUCGAAUCCACUCUGGAGCUCAUCACAAAACUGUAAAUGCAUUUUGUUUUUUUCCCCUCCUAUCAGAACUCAGAAACCUUUCCUUUCAGAGGGCCAGAGUCUUGUAUUGAAGCUGUCACGGCUACUCAAAAGCAUGCUUGAUCUUAUGCAAUGUAAAUAUCAUUUCUGAAGCUGCUUCAACCAGAAAAGUUUUUAAUCCAUGUCUGGCUGAAUGGAUUCUGUCAAAAUUUCACUUCUUCAGCUUGAUCUAUUACAUCCCACUAUCAAGAAUUUGGAGCUUUCUAAGAGGAAAUAACAGCACAGAGUAGCCUGAAAAAUGAAAAUAAUGGCAGGAUGUGAUGCAAAAGCUGCUCCCCCAGACUGGCUAUGGGGAAUCAAGAAAUAUUGCUUUCUUAUUUCAAAUUGUUUAUAUAAUCUACAUCAUUCACCUCCAAAUUGUCCUCAUGGCCAGUGAUUUUUACAUCUCAUCUUCUGGUGCUCUUUUGUUCUCUCUUGCUAAAUUGUACUUACGACAGAUUCAUAUCAAAUAAAAUCAGUUGCAUGGUAUCUGUAAAAAAUUUUGUGAAA